AUGGACAGCACAUAAGUAAUUCCUGGAUUAGAAGUGAAAUUAGAUGAGAAGCCAUGCAAUUCCUGGUUAUGAAUUAACCAAAGAAAGGUUGAGUUUGAAACUUUUAGAUGUUAGAGUUUGUAUUGCUAUGUAGGAAACUUAAAGGCUAUACUUUGGGCAGCAUAAGUGAAGGUUAUUGAUUAGAAAUGAAAACUUGAUGAGAGGUAUAUGAAGCAGUAAACUUCAGGUUUUGGUUGUUGGAGAGGAAAAUUGAGGUUAGCUGCUAUGUUAAGAGUUGAGCUAAGAAUUAUUGGUUGCUUUGAAGCUAGUUCUAGGUAGUUAAAGCUUGUAUUAGCUUAUAGAAACCUUGAAACUAUACAAGACUGCAUAUAUGUGUAGGAAUGUAAAGUAUCAUGUUUCUUUAAAAAGGGAUGUUGAGUUUAAUUUAAAAAAUGGUGGAAUAAAGGAUUUCUCAUGUGCUGAAAUUCUAAACAUCAUGGAGAACUUAUAGAAUUAGUUCUAUGUAUGUAUGUAUGUAUGUAUAUACAUAUAGAUGUAUAUGUACAUAAUGGUUAGGAAUGAAACCUGGGUUAAAUUAACUUAAUUUUUGAAUUAGAAUGAUGUUAAUUGCUGUAAUGAAGUUGAAUUAGGAGAUUGCUAGAGUUUCUACUUGUUAUGAAACCUAGGGAAUAAGCUCUAUAUUACGUAUUGAGUAGUAUACAUGUAUGUAAAAUGAGCAACUUGAGUAGGUUAAUUGUAAUUCCUUGUUUGGAAUCAUUGUAAGUAACCAGGAAUAAAGGUUCAGUUUGUAAAUUCUAGAUCACUAGCACCUGAAUUAUUGUUGGAAUUUAAAGCAGAACGAAGCUAUAAUAGUACUCCACGAGUAAAUUGGGUUAUAUAUAUAUGCAACUUGGAGUUGAAAUGCGAAGUUUGUAAAAAUGUGAAUAUGACUUAAGUUUAAUCCCUUUUUUUCCUCUAGGAAGGAAAGUUUGACGUGCUCGUAAGUUCAAAUUAAUAUUCCGACGGACCUACGACGCGCUAAUUAAGAAAUGCUUCGUUCUAGCUCUAUUUACAUCGAGUCGCGAGAGCUCGUGGUUGAUACGUUCUGAGACGUUGGUUCUGGUUUGUUGGCAACCCUACAGGUGGGUGGUGCUAUUCGAAGUCUUCGAAUCCCUCCUUAUGUCUAUGUCAUCUCGUUGAGCAUCUCUAUAUAUGUGAAUUGUAUCCUAUUAAUGCAUUAUAGGGAAAAUGUUAUUAUACAAUUGAAUUCUGUUAAUGUAAAGAACAUGUGGACGUUAGAACAUGAACAUAGAACCCUAUGAAUGUAUGAAUUAGUAAUGGACUAUGACCAUAGUAAACUUGGUGACAUUGUGACUAGAAGUAUUAGUUAGCAUCAACAUUGGAACUGUAAAAUCUAGCAUAAAGAGCUAGUUAGAAAUUAAAUUGUGGCAUCGUCAGUUAUUGAAUCCUCUAAGUGAGGAUUGGAUUAUACUCACCUAUUCUGUUUCGGCUUAGUGGUGGUCGCUCCCCCCAAGCAGUGCACUCCGGAGUGUGUCAUUCACUGGGUUGAUCGUAUAAGCCUUCCCAGUAGACGAUCCCAUCGGGAGGCAGCUUAGGGCCCGAAUACUCUAAGUGAGGAUUGGAUUAUACUCACCUAUUCUGUUUCGGCUUGGUGGUGGUCGCUCCCCCUAAGCAGUGCACUCCGGAGUGUGUCAUUAACUGGGUUGAUCGUAUAAGCCUUCCCAGUAGACGAUCCCGUCGGGAGGCAGCUUAGGGCCCGAUACUUAGGGAUUGCGUUGGUGAGUUAUAGUUAACCAAAUGAUUAACCAGAUGGAUUGGGUAUUGAUUAUUCAUAGCAUGCAUGCAUAAAUUUCAUAUAUUAUCUACAGUUUCUUUCAGCUUUGUACAAGCAUUGUAGUAGUUACAUGUUAUAGCUGGUUCUUAUCUAUUUACUUUUCUUGCCUACAUAUGCCUGAAUAGAUCUAGUGGGUGAGUCGGCGAGGUCGGCGGCCGAACCCACUGGAAACUUUUAGUAGUUCUCACA
rnacentral:lncRNA from 1 species